UGAGGAAUAUUGGUCAAUGGGCGCAGGCCUGAACCAGCCAAGUAGCGUGAAGGAUGACUGCCCUAUGGGUUGUAAACUUCUUUUAUAUGGGAAUAAAGUUUUCCACGUGUGGAAUUUUGUAUGUACCAUAUGAAUAAGGAUCGGCUAACUCCGUGCCAGCAGCCGCGGUAAUACGGAGGAUCCGAGCGUUAUCCGGAUUUAUUGGGUUUAAAGGGAGCGUAGGUGGAUUGUUAAGUCAGUUGUGAAAGUUUGCGGCUCAACCGUAAAAUUGCAGUUGAAACUGGCAGUCUUGAGUACAGUAGAGGUGGGCGGAAUUCGUGGUGUAGCGGUGAAAUGCUUAGAUAUCACGAAGAACUCCGAUUGCGAAGGCAGCUCACUAGACUGCAACUGACACUGAUGCUCGAAAGUGUGGGUAUCAAACAGG
rnacentral:rRNA from 1 species